CCUACGGGCGGCUGCAGUGAGGAAUAUUGGUCAAUGGGCUCGCGCCUGAACCAGCCAAGUCGCGUGAGGGAAGACUGCCCUAUGGGUUGUAAACCUCUUUUGCCGGGGAGCAACGCGCGCCACGUGUGGCGCCACUGAGAGUACCCGAAGAAAAAGCAUCGGCUAACUCCGUGCCAGCAGCCGCGGUAAUACGGAGGAUGCGAGCGUUAUCCGGAUUUAUUGGGUUUAAAGGGUGCGUAGGCGGAAGGCUAAGUCAGCGGUAAAAUUGCGGGGCUCAACCCCUCCCCGCCGUUGAAACUGGCGCUCUUGAGUGGAAGAGAAGUAUGCGGAAUGCGUGGUGUAGCGGUGAAAUGCAUAGAUAUCACGCAGAACCCCGAUUGCGAAGGCAGCAUGCCGGCUUCCGACUGACGCUGAAGCACGAAAGCGUGGGUAUCGAACAGGAUUAGAUACCCUUGUAGUC
rnacentral:rRNA from 1 species